AGAAACGAAGUGGGAAAACAUAAAACCCAUGUCUGAACGGUCGCCUCGGUUUGUUCGUACUGUGAGAAAACCUUAUAACCGAAGAAGCCUGGACGCUAAAACAAGCUUGGGAGCUGCUCUGUUGUUGAACAGGAGUGAGGCUGGAUACUGACUAUACCUGCGGCGCAAAGGUGUAACCACUUCGUCCACAAUUACCGAGACUUUGUUCACAAUCAGAGAGACAUUGUUCACAAUCAGAGAGACAUGUCCACGAUCAGAGAGACAUUGUUUACAAUCACAGAGUCCUCAUACAAUAAAUAAGAAGACCAGGACUUUGGCCUCCAGCUGAAUUCACAGAAACAACAAGAUCCACCAAAGGUGAAGGACGACCCCAGUGCAAGAGAGGACAGUGGGUGUCUCCACAUCAUCCGUGAUCACAGAGAGUCUUCAUGCAAUAAAGAAGUUCUUUGAAACCAGGACAGCGGCUGCCAGGAUUCAAACUUUAACCAUUAAAUCACUGAGAGAAGAGACAGACUUGAAGACAUUUCCAGAGGGUCAGAGUUCAUUUGUUCAUUCUGGUCUGACUCUGUCAUUAUCUCAGCUGUUGUUUGAAACUUUAAAAUCGCUUGUCUGGAAUUAGAAUUUUUCAACAAUGUAUCUCCAAAAAGUUUUAAAAUAUGUAUAACAACACACACACAAACAGACAUUUUGACGCUUUACUAUGUUAUUAUUAUUAUUUUUUUUUUUUUUAACCAUUUUUCCAUACCAUACUAUGACAUUUUUUGACCAUUUUUGAUGUCAUACUAUACUAUGACAUUUUUUCAUGGUUUUUGAUGUCAUACUAUACUAUGACAUUUUUUCAUGGUUUUUGAUGUCAUACUAUACUAUGACAUUUUUUGACCAUUUUUGACAUUAUACUAUACUAUGACAUUUUUUGACCAUUUUUGACG